CGAAUUCAGACAAACUCCGAAUGCCAAUUAAUUUAACUUGGGAGUCAGAACAUGGGUGAUAAGGUCCGUGUUCGAAAGGGAAACAGCCCAGACCACCAGCUAAGGUCCCAAAAUAUAUGUUAAGUGGAAAAGGAUGUGGCGUUGCCCAGACAACUAGGAUGUUGGCUUAGAAGCAGCCAUCAUUUAAAGAGUGCGUAAUAGCUCACUAGUCGAGUGACACUGCGCCGAAAAUGUACCGGGGCUAAACAUAUUACCGAAGCUGUGGAUUGUCCUUUGGACAAUGGUAGGAGAGCGUUCUAAGGGCGUUGAAGCAUGAUCGUAAGGACAUGUGGAGCGCUUAGAAGUGAGAAUGCCGGUGUGAGUAGCGAAAGACGGGUGAGAAUCCCGUCCACCGAUUGACUAAGGUUUCCAGAGGAAGGCUCGUCCGCUCUGGGUUAGUCGGGUCCUAAGCUGAGGCCGACAGGCGUAGGCGAUGGAUAACAGGUUGAUAUUCCUGUACCACCUAUAAUCGUUUUAAUCGAUGGGGGGACGCAGUAGGAUAGGCGAAGCGUGCGAUUGGAUUGCACGUCUAAGCAGUAAGGCUGAGUAUUAGGCAAAUCCGGUACUCGUUAAGGCUGAGCUGUGAUGGGGAGAAGACAUUGUGUCUUCGAGUCGUUGAUUUCACACUGCCGAGAAAAGCCUCUAGAUAGAAAAUAGGUGCCCGUACCGCAAACCGACACAGGUAGUCAAGAUGAGAAUUCUAAGGUGAGCGAGCGAACUCUCGUUAAGGAACUCGGCAAAAUGACCCCGUAACUUCGGGAGAAGGGGUGCUCUUUAGGGUUAACGCCCAGAAGAGCCGCAGUGAAUAGGCCCAAGCGACUGUUUAUCAAAAACACAGGUCUCUGCUAAACCGUAAGGUGAUGUAUAGGGGCUGACGCCUGCCCGGUGCUGGAAGGUUAAGAGGAGUGGUUAGCUUCUGCGAAGCUACGAAUCGAAGCCCCAGUAAACGGCGGCCGUAACUAUAACGGUCCUAAGGUAGCGAAAUUCCUUGUCGGGUAAGUUCCGACCCGCACGAAAGGCGUAACGAUUUGGGCACUGUCUCAACGAGAGACUCGGUGAAAUCAUAGUACCUGUGAAGAUGCAGGUUACCCGCGACAGGACGGAAAGACCCCGUGGAGCUUUACUGUAGCCUGAUAUUGAAAUUCGGCACAGCUUGUACAGGAUAGGUAGGAGCCUUUGAAACGUGAGCGCUAGCUUACGUGGAGGCGCUGGUGGGAUACUACCCUAGCUG
rnacentral:rRNA from 1 species